GAUGAAGAACGCAGCGAAAUGCAAUAAGUAAUGUGAAUUGCAGAAUUCAGUGAAUCAUCGAAUCUUUGAACGCACAUUGCGCCCGCUAGUAUUCUGGCGGGCAUGCCUGUCCGAGCGUCAUUUCAACCCUCAAGCCCCCGGGCUUGGUGUUGGGGAUCGGCGAGCCUCCGCGCCCGCCGUCCCCUAAAUCUAGUGGCGGUCUCGCUGUAGCUUCCUCUGCGUAGUAGCACACCUCGCACUGGGAAACAGCGCGGCCACGCCGUUAAACCCCCAACUUCUGAACGUUUGACCUCGGAUCAGGUAGGAAUACCCGCUGAACUUAAGCAUAUCAAUAAGCGGAGGA
rnacentral:misc_RNA from 1 species